rnacentral:misc_RNA from 1 species
GAUGAAGAACGUAGUGAAAUGCGAUAAGUAAUGUGAAUUGCAGAAUCUCGUGAAUCAUCGAAUCUUUGAACGCACAUUGCGCCCCCUGGUAUUCCGGGGGGCAUGCCUGUCCGAGCGUCAUUACAACCCUCAAGCUCAGCUUGGUGUUGGGCCCCGCCGCCCCGGCGGGCCCUAAAGUCAGUGGCGGUGCCGUCCGGCUCCGAGCGUAGUAAUUCUUCUCGCUCUGGAGGUCCGGUCGUGUGCUCGCCAGCAACCCCCAAUUUUUUUCAGGUUGACCUCGGAUCAGGUAGGGAUACCCGCUGAACUUAAGCAUAUCAAUAAGCGGAGGA